GAUGAACGCUGGCGGCGUGCCUAAUACAUGCAAGUCGAGCGAACAGACGAGGAGCUUGCUCCUCUGACGUUAGCGGCGGACGGGUGAGUAACACGUGGAUAACCUACCUAUAAGACUGGGAUAACUUCGGGAAACCGGAGCUAAUACCGGAUAAUAUAUUGAACCGCAUGGUUCAAUAGUGAAAGACGGUUUUGCUGUCACUUAUAGAUGGAUCCGCGCCGCAUUAGCUAGUUGGUAAGGUAACGGCUUACCAAGGCAACGAUGCGUAGCCGACCUGAGAGGGUGAUCGGCCACACUGGAACUGAGACCCGGUCCAGACCCCUACGGGAGGCAGAAGUAGGGAAUCUUCCGCAAUGGGCGAAAGCCUGACGGAGCAACGCCGCGUGAGUGAUGAAGGUCUUCGGAUCGUAAAACCCUUUUAUUAGGGAAGAACAAAUGUGUAAGUAACUAUGCACGUCUUGACGGUACCUAAUCAGAAAGCCACGGCUAACUACGU
rnacentral:rRNA from 1 species